rnacentral:rRNA from 1 species
GGAAAAGCCUCUAAGCAUCAGGUAACAUCAAAUCGUACCCCAAACCGACACAGGUGGUCAGGUAGAGAAUACCAAGGCGCUUGAGAGAACUCGGGUGAAGGAACUAGGCAAAAUGGUGCCGUAACUUCGGGAGAAGGCACGCUGGUGUGUAGGUGAAGUCCCUGCGGAUGGAGCUGAGACCAGUCGAAGAUACCAGCUGGCUGCAACUGUUUAUUAAAAACAUAGCACUCUGCAAACACGAAAGUGGACGUAUACGGUGUGACGCCUGCCCGGUGCCGGAAG